UACGAAGGGGGCGAGCGUUUGUUCGGAAUUACUGGGCGUAAAGGGCGCGUAGGCGGCGACCCAAGUCAGAUGUGAAAGUCCUGGGCUUAACCUGGGGACUGCAUUUGAUACUGGGUUGCUUGAAUUCGGGAGAGGAUAGCGGAAUUCCCAGUGUAGAGGUGAAAUUCGUAGAUAUUGGGAAGAACACCGGUGGCGAAGGCGGCUAUCUGGACCGACAUUGACGCUGAGGCGCGAAAGCGUGGGGAGCAAAGCAG
rnacentral:rRNA from 1 species